rnacentral:rRNA from 1 species
UACGUAGGGACCAAGCGUUGUUCGGAUUUACUGGGCGUAAAGGGCGCGUAGGCGGCGUGGUAAGUCACUUGUGAAAUCUCUGAGCUUAACUCAGAACGGCCAAGUGAUACUGCUGUGCUAGAGUGCAGGAGAGGAACGCGGAAUUCCAGGUGUAGCGGUGAAAUGCGUAGAUAUCUGGAGGAACACCGGUGGCGAAGGCGGCGUUCUGGACUGCAACUGACACUGAAAAAACGAAAGCCAGGGGAGCAAACGGG